GGAUUCUUAGUUGUUUUCUUUAGAAGAACAUUUCUAGAGAAUAAUACAAGAAGAUUUAGGAAUCAUUGAAGUUAUAAACCUUUGGAAUGAGCAAACUCAGAAUGGUGCUACUUGAAGACUCUGGAUUUGCUGACUUCAGAAGACAUUUUGUCAACUUGAGUCCCUUCACCAUUGCUGUGGUCUUACUUCUCAGUGCCUGUUUUGUCACCAGUUCUCUUGGAGGAACAGACAAGGAGCUGAGGCUAGUGGAUGGUGAAAACAAGUGUAGUGGGAGAGUGGAAGUGAAAGUCCAGGAGGAGUGGGGAACGGUGUGUAAUAAUGGCUGGAGCAUGGAAGCAGUCUCUGUGAUUUGUAACCAGCUGGGAUGUCCAACUGCUAUCAAAGCCACUGGAUGGGCUAAUUCCAGUGCAGGUUCUGGACGUAUUUGGAUGGAUCAUGUUUCUUGUCGUGGGAAUGAGUCAGCUCUUUGGGACUGCAAACAUGAUGGAUGGGGAAAGCAUAGUAACUGUACUCACCAACAAGAUGCUGGAGUGACCUGCUCAGAUGGAUCCAAUUUGGAAAUGAGGCUGACGAAUGGAGGGAAUAUGUGUUCCGGAAGAAUAGAGAUCAAAUUCCAAGGACUGUGGGGAACAGUGUGUGAUGAUAACUUCAACAUAGAUCAUGCAUCUGUCGUUUGUAAACAACUUGAAUGUGGAAGUGCUGUCAGUUUCUCUGGUUCAUCUAAUUUUGGAGAAGGCUCUGGACCAAUCUGGUUUGAUGAUCUUAUAUGCAACGGAAAUGAGUCAGCUCUCUGGAACUGCAAACAUCAAGGAUGGGGAAAGCAUAACUGUGAUCAUGCUGAGGAUGCUGGAGUGAUUUGCUCAAAGGGAGCAGAUCUGAGCCUGAGACUGGUGGAUGGAGUCACUGAAUGUUCAGGAAGAUUAGAAGUGAGAUUCCAAGGAGAAUGGGGGACAAUAUGUGAUGACGGCUGGGACAGUUAUGAUGCUGCUGUGGCAUGCAAGCAACUGGGAUGUCCAACUACCGUCACCGCCAUUGGUCGAGUUAAUGCCAGUGAGGGAUUUGGACACAUCUGGCUUGACAGUGUUUCUUGCCAGGGACAUGAACCUGCUGUCUGGCAAUGUAAACACCAUGAAUGGGGAAAGCAUUAUUGCAAUCACAAUGAAGAUGCUGGCGUGACAUGUUCUGAUGGAUCAGAUCUGGAGCUAAGACUUAGAGGUGGAGGCAGCCGCUGUGCUGGGACAGUUGAGGUGGAGAUUCAGAGACUGUUAGGGAAGGUGUGUGACAGAGGCUGGGGACUGAAAGAAGCUGAUGUGGUUUGCAGGCAGCUGGGAUGUGGAUCUGCACUCAAAACAUCCUAUCAAGUGUACUCCAAAAUCCAGGCAACAAACACAUGGCUGUUUCUAAGUAGCUGUAACGGAAAUGAAACUUCUCUUUGGGACUGCAAGAACUGGCAAUGGGGUGGACUUACCUGUGAUCACUAUGAAGAAGCCAAAAUUACCUGCUCAGCCCACAGGGAACCCAGACUGGUUGGAGGGGACAUUCCCUGUUCUGGACGUGUUGAAGUGAAGCAUGGUGACACGUGGGGCUCCGUCUGUGAUUCGGACUUCUCUCUGGAAGCUGCCAGCGUUCUAUGCAGGGAAUUACAGUGUGGCACAGUUGUCUCUAUCCUGGGGGGAGCUCACUUUGGAGAGGGAAAUGGACAGAUCUGGGCUGAAGAAUUCCAGUGUGAGGGACAUGAGUCCCAUCUUUCACUCUGCCCGGUAGCACCCCGCCCAGAAGGAACUUGUAGCCACAGCAGGGAUGUUGGAGUAGUCUGCUCAAGAUACACGGAAAUUCGCUUGGUGAAUGGCAAGACCCCAUGUGAGGGCAGAGUGGAGCUCAAAACGCUUGGUGCCUGGGGAUCCCUCUGCAACUCUCACUGGGACAUAGAAGAUGCCCAUGUUCUUUGCCAGCAGCUUAAAUGUGGAGUUGCCCUUUCUACCCCAGGAGGAGCACAUUUUGGAAAAGGAAAUGGUCAGGUCUGGAGGCAUAUGUUUCACUGCACUGGGACUGAGCAGCACAUGGGAGAUUGUCCUGUAACUGCUCUAGGUGCUUCAUUAUGUCCUUCAGAGCAAGUGGCCUCUGUAAUCUGCUCAGGAAACCAGUCCCAAACACUGUCCUCAUGCAAUUCAUCAUCUUUGGGCCCAACAAGGCCUACCAUUCCAGAAGAAAGUGCUGUGGCCUGCAUAGGUAAGCCUCUGUGACAAAUCUAUGAAAAUAUUAAUAACAAGUGGAAUGCUCAUUAUUAAUAUUUUCAUUUCUCUUUGCAGAGAGUGGUCAACUUCGCCUGGUAAAUGGAGGAGGUCGCUGUGCUGGGAGAGUAGAGGUCUAUCAUGAGGGCUCCUGGGGCACCAUCUGUGAUGAUAGCUGGGACCUGAGUGAUGCCCACGUGGUUUGCAGACAGUUGGGCUGUGGAGAGGCCAUUAAUGCCACUGGUUCUGCUCAUUUUGGGGAAGGAACAGGGCCUAUCUGGCUGGAUGAGGUGAAAUGCAAUGGAAAAGAAUCCCGCAUUUGGCAGUGCCAUUCACAUGGCUGGGGGCAGCAAAAUUGCAGGCACAAGGAGGAUGCAGGAGUUAUCUGCUCGGAGUUUAUGUCUCUGAGACUGACCAGUGAAGCCAGCAAAGAGGCCUGUGCAGGGCGUCUGGAAGUUUUUUACAAUGGAACUUGGGGCAGUGUUGGCAGGAGUAGCAUGUCUGAAACCACUGUGGGUGUGGUGUGCAGGCAGCUGGGCUGUGCAGACAAAGGGAAAAUCAACCCUGCAUCUUUAGACAAGGCCAUGUCCAUUCCCAUGUGGGUGGACAAUGUUCAGUGUCCAAAAGGACCUGACAUGCUGUGGCAGUGCCCAUCAUCUCCAUGGGAGAAGAGACUGGCCAGCCCCUCGGAGGAGACCUGGAUCACAUGUGACAGAAAGAUAAAACUUCAAGAAGGACCCACUUCCUGUUCUGGACGUGUGGAGAUCUGGCAUGGAGGUUCCUGGGGGACAGUGUGUGAUGACUCUUGGGACUUGGACGAUGCUCAGGUGGUGUGUCAACAACUUGGCUGUGGUCCAGCUUUGAAAGCAUUCAAAGAAGCAGAGUUUGGUCCGGGGACUGGACCCAUAUGGCUCAAUGAAGUGAAGUGCAAAGGGAAUGAGUCUUCCUUGUGGGAUUGUCCUGCCAGACGCUGGGGCCACAGUGAUUGUGGGCACAAGGAAGACGCUGCAGUGAAUUGCACAGAUAUUCCAGUGCACAAAACGCCACAAAAAGCCACAACAGGUCGCUCAUCCCGUCAGUCAUCCCUUAUUGCAGUCGGGAUCCUUGGGGUUGUUCUGUUGGCCAUUUUUGUCGCAUUAUUCUUCUUGACUAAAAAGCGAAGACAGAGACAGCGGCUUGCAGUUUCCUCAAGAGGAGAGAACUUAGUCCACCAAAUUCAAUACCAGGAGAUGAAUUCUUGCCUGAAUGCAGAUGAUCUGGACCUAAUGAAUUCCUCAGGUCUGUGGGUUCUUGGAGGGUCUAUUGCCCAGGGGUUCAGAUCAGUGGCUGCAAUUGAGGCAUAGACAUUCUACUUUGAUAAACAGUUAAAAAAAUGUAAAAAUGUAAUAGGGAGCUUAGAUGCAUAUAAUGGACAAGAAUGACUGAAAAUUAUUGUUGGAGAAUAUCAAAAUUGCAAUCAUAGGGAGGCCUUUAGCUUAAGAGGCCUGUGAUUAUUCCUGAUAGAGGUACGUAAAGAACCAUGCAAAGGAAUAUUAUGACUUGGACCUCAUUUUAUUAAAGCAGAAAUUAAUCUUACAAAAGAUUGUCAUAAGUGACAGUUUAACUUUUUUCUUUAAAUUUUGUUGUGUAUAUUUAAGGUAUACAACAUGAUUUUAUGGGAUGUAUAUACAUAGUAAAAAGCUUACUAAAGCAAAGCAAAUUAACACAUCCGUCAUCUGACAUAGUUACCCUCUUUUGUGUUGUUUUUGUGGCAAGAGCAGCUAAAACCUACUCACUUAGCAUGAAUCCUAUAUACAGCACAAUUUUAUUACUUAUAAUCCUCAUGUUGUACAUUAGACCUCUAGACUGGUUCAUUCUAUGUAUCUGCUACUUUGUAUCCUCUGACCUACAUACGUCUUUCACAGUUUCUUCCAUUCCCAUUUCCUGUCAUUGUUUUCUCUAGCUUGAUAUUUAUUAUAUUUUUCCCUAAAAGUCUAAAACCUUAAACUUCCCAUAUCUUUAUUGCAUGAGAAGCCAUCAAAAUCCACAGGACUAGCCUUAUUUGUCAUCACAUCAUGCUGUUUUAUCCUUGAACUUCUAUUUAGCACCAGUGCACUAAUUUUGCCUCUGCGCAGGAUAACUUUACUGGGUUGGAAGAAAUAUCCCAAAACCCAUUGUCUUUACUCCACAAAGGGUCCCUGACCUUCUGAGAGGGGCCUGCCUCACUUCUUCCAUCCAAAGAAUUAUGCAUCUGCUACUGUGUCAGGGAACAUAUUUAAAGAACAUGUACUGUUACUGUGUCAGGAAACAUAUUUAAGAAAUAGGAAAGACUUUCUCUGCCCCUUAAAUCACACAUGCUUGUCUUCCUAGGUAUGGGUAGUGUUUUUAGUUGCUCAAAGAGCCUCACAGUUAUGUGAGGAGAGGUCUGGUUUAUUUCCCAGUAAUUAUUUUCUUCCUUUCAGAAAAUUCCCAUGAGUCAGCUGAUUUCAAUGCUGCUAAACUAAUUUCUGUGUCUAAAUUUCUUUCCUGUUUCUGGAAUGGAACAGGAGGCCAUUCUGAGGCACACUGAAAAGGAAAAUGGGAAUUUAUAACCCAGUGAGUUCAGCCUUGAUGAAGACCUGGACUAUUGAAUGGAGCAGAAAUUCACCUCUUUCACUGAUUAUUACAGUUGCAUUUUUAUGGAGUUCUUCUUCUCCUAGUAUUCCUAAGACUGCUGCUGAAUUUAUAAAAAUUAAGUUUGUGAAUGUGACUACUUAGUGGUGUAUAUGAGACUUUCAAGGGAAUUAAAUAAAUAAAUAAAUAAAUAAAUAAGAAUGUUAUUGAUUUGAGUUUGCUUUAAUUACUUGUCCUUAAUUCUAUUAAUUUCUAAAUGGGCUUCCUAAUUUUUUGUAGAGUUUCCUAGAUGUAUUAUAAUGUGUUUUAUUUGACAGUGUUUCAAUUUGCAUAUACAGUACUGUAUAUUUUUUCUUAUUUGGUUUGAAUAAUUUUCCUAUUACCAAAUAAAAAUAAAUUUAUUUUUACUUUAGUUUUUCUAAGACAGGAAAAAUUAAUGAUAUUGAAGGGUCUGUAAAUAAUAUAUGGCUAACUUUAUAAGGCGUGACUCACAAUGAUUCUUUAACUGCUUUUUGUUACUGUAAUUCUGUUCACUGGAAUAAAAUGCAUAGCCACACCUGGUAAGGGCAC
rnacentral:sRNA from 1 species